rnacentral:rRNA from 1 species
UGGGGAAUUUUGCACAAUGGGGGAAACCCUGAUGCAGCGACGCCGCGUGAUUUAGAAGGCCUUCGGGUUGUAAAAAUCUUUUCUAUGGGAAGAAAAUGACAGUACCAUAGGAAUAAGGACCGGCUAAUUACGUGCCAGCAGCCGCGGUAAUACGCAAGGUCCGAGCGUUGUCCGGAAUCAUUGGGCGUAAAGGGUACGUAGGCGGGUAAGCAAGUUAGAAGUGAAAUCCUAUAGCUCAACUAUAGUAAGCUUUUAACACUGCUCAUCUUGAGGUAUGGAAGGGAAAGUGGAAUUCCUAGUGUAGCGGUGAAAUGCGCAGAUAUUAGGAGGAAUACCGGUGGCGAAGGCGACUUUCUGGCCAUAACCUGACGCUGAGGUACGAAAGCGUGGGUAGCAAACAGG